rnacentral:piRNA from 1 species
UGUGUUAGGUGCAGAGUGUGCG